GAUGAACGCUGGCGGCGUGCCUAAUACAUGCAAGCCGAGCGAACAGAUGAGGAGCUUGCUCCUCUGACGUUAGCGGCGGACGGGUGAGUAACACGUGGAUAACCUACCUAUAAGACUGGGAUAACUUCGGGAAACCGGAGCUAAUACCGGAUAAUAUAUUGAACCGCAUGGUUCAAUAGUGAAAGACGGUUUUGCUGUCACUUAUAGAUGGAUCCGCGCCGCAUUAGCUAGUUGGUAAGGUAACGGCUUACCAAGGCAACGAUGCGUAGCCGACCUGAGAGGGUGAUCGGCCACACUGGAACUGAGACACGGUCCAGACUCCUACGGGAGGCAGCAGUAGGGAACCUUCCGCAAUGGGCGAAAGCCUGACGGAGCAACGCCGCGUGAGUGAUGAAGGUCUUCGGAUCGUAAAACUCUGUUAUUAGGGAAGAACAAAUGUGUAAGUAACUAUGCACGUCUUGACGGUACCUAAUCAGAAAGCCACGGCUAACUACGUG
rnacentral:rRNA from 1 species